rnacentral:rRNA from 1 species
ACGGGAGGCAGCAGUGAGGAAUAUUGGUCAAUGGGCGGGAGCCUGAACCAGCCAAGUCGCGUGAGGGAUGACGGUCCUACGGAUUGUAAACCUCUUUUGUCGGGGAGUAACGUGCGGGACGCGUCCCGUAUUGAGAGUACCAGAAGAAAAAGCAUCGGCUAAAUCCGUGCCAGCAGCCGCGGUAAUAAGGAGAAUGCGAGCGUUAUCCGGAUUUAUUGGGUUUAAAGGGUGCGGCGGCGGCGUGCCAAGUCAGCGGUCAAAGUUCCGGGCUCAACCCGGUGAUGCCGUUGAAACUGGUGUGCUCGAGUGCGUGCGAGGAAGGCGGAAUGCUUUGUGUAGCGGUGAAAUGCAUAGAUAUAACGCAGAACCCCGAUUGCGAAGGCAGCUUUCCAGCACGCUACUGACGCUGAGGCACGAAAGCGUGGGGAUCGAACAGGAUUAGAUACCCUGGUA